rnacentral:lncRNA from 1 species
CCAACGUAUUUUCCAAUUAGGAGAGUAUUAUAAGAAUAUGUACAUAACUCCCAGCAUUUGAAUUUUCUUUGCAUGCAAAUAUACAUCAAAUUCUCAGCAAAAUCAGCACUACAUCCAAAUUCCAAGAAAAUUCAGCAUUAAAAGAAUGUCCUAGAUCAUGCAUGCCUUGCUUUCUUAUGACUCCUUCGUCAUAGUGCUCGCGACGAAACAUGAAUGAAGGCCAUCAUCUGAAUGUUAUAAAAUAGAAUGAUUAGAAACAAAAGAAAAGCACAUCUGACAACAUGUUAAGUUGUAUGCAGUCUGUACACAAAUAAAAAUAGAAGAACAAAAACGAUGCAUAGUUAUCGGUGAUACUAGUGAUUGCGAACAAUCUGUAAAUACAUUAUAUUAGUGACAAACAUCAUCAUAAAGAUAACAAUGGGGAUACAUGUAUGCCCAAAAUGAGCAAGUUAUUUUGUAUUUGAGAAACAGAAAAUAGUUCAACAUUGCAAACCUUGUUGUUCUACAACGUUUGGAAUUAGUUUGUUCAUUAGAAUGUUCAGUUUCUCCAUAUAACGUGGGUUUAUUUUCAGAUAAACUGACGCAAGUAUUUUUCUAGUAAUUGUAGUUGAAAUCAAUCGCAUGUUCCAAAAUGUUGUUAGGCUACAAUAAGACGGAGAAACCAACAUAAUGGAAUAAAUUAUGGGGACCAACUCAUAUAACACAAAUCAGUUAAAAUCUUUAAAAUGCUACAUAUAUGGGAUUCUUCUGCUCCUUUUCACCACUACAGGUGACUAGCAAUGUUGGCAGUUGGUGGGGCAAAUUAUUUAUUUUUUCAGCGGUCGUUUAAGAAUUUUUUGCAGUUUUCAAUCAAAAUAUUUAAGACUUUCUGAGCUUGCAUUUCUGUUUGCUAUGCCUGGAGCUACAAGAAACAAUGGAUGAAUGGAAAGAAUGGACCUACAAAGUAGUAUCUGGAAUGUGUGUGCACUAUGAACUGAUAGGUAGACUUGUGGUUGCUCAUAAAGUGAUUCCCCCAAUGUUCAGACAC